rnacentral:rRNA from 1 species
GAAACGAUUGAAGUCAGUCGUACCUCCGGGUAAUCAGCCUUUCGAGUGCGAUUCUGUGGAGCGUGAGGAGUUAAACGCCUUCAUGCCUGCAUAUUCGUGCACUUUGGGUGUACUUGCCCGUGUGGUAGGUUAACAUCAAUUUUGGUGGUCAUAAAAUGACUGGAGGAAUGUAGCUUCGAUCUCGUAUUGAAGUGUUAUAGCCUUCGGUAGAUGUGAUGAUCGAGAUUGAGGAUUGCAACGGAUACCCCUCGGGGCUACCUGUCUGAUCUCUGAUCGUUGCUCUGGUGCCGAAAGCUUGCUUACGGUUAUCAAAGUCGAUGGUCAAUAGGUUAGAACGGGUUAAAUUCGUUAAGGAUGUUGACGU